AAACUAUUUAUAUUUUGUUUUGAAAACAAAAUUUAAGAAAUGUUCUUGUAGUUUUA
rnacentral:tRNA from 1 species